rnacentral:lncRNA from 10 species
GGGUCCCCUUCUGCACUGUGGAAGCUUUGUUCUUUUGCUCUUUACAAUAUAUCUUGCUACUACUCAGUUUUUGGGUCCGCACUGCUUUUAUAAGCUGUAACACUCACCGUGAAGACCUGCAGCUUUGCUCCUGAGCCCAGCGAGACCAUGAGCCCACGGGGAGGAAUGAACAACUCCAGACGUGCUGCCUUAAAAGUUGUAACAUUCACCAUGAAGGUCUGUAGCUUCACUCCCGAGCCAGCGAGACCACGAACCCACCAGAAGGAAGAAACUCCGAACACAUUUGAACAUCAGAAGGAACAAACUCCAGACGCGCUGCCUUAAGAGCUGUAACACUCACUGCGAGGGUGCGCAGCUUCAUUCUUGAAGUCAGUGAGACCAAGAACCCACCAAUUCCGGACACACCAGGAGGUGGAGGUUAAACUGAGCUGAGAUUGUGCCAUUGCACUCCAGCCUGGAUAACAAGAGUGAAACUCUUAAAAUAAUACAUAUAUGUAUAUGUAUACGUAUAUAUGUAUGUAUAUGCACA